CUCCGGGAGCACAAUGGAAUAUGACAAGGCGCAGCUGAUCAACCAUCCGCUGAAUUAGUAGGCCCUAAGGUUGUAACGCUCUUUUGUCCGGAAAAAUAAUGACGGUACCGCAAGUAUUACUCCCCGGCUAACUUCGUGCCAGCAUCCCCGGUAAUACGAAGGGGUCUAGCGUUGCUCGGAAUCCCUGGGCGUAAAGGGUUCGUAGGCGGGUCCUAAAGUCAGGGGUGAAAAUCCUGGAGCUCAACUCCAGAACUGCCUUUGAUACUGAAGAUCUUGAGUUCGGGAAAAGGUGAAUGGGAACUGCGAGUGUAGAGGUGUAAUUCGUAGAUAUUCGCAAGUACACCAGUGGCGAAGGCGGCUCACUGGCCCGAUACUGACGCUGAGGCACGAAAGCGUGGGGAGCAAACAGGAUUAGAUAACCCUGGUAGUCCACGCCGUAAACGAUGAAUGCCAACCGUUAGUGGGUUUACUCACUAGUGGCGCAGCUAACGCUUUAAGCAUUCCGCCUGGGGAGUACGGUCGCAAGAUUAAAACUCAAAGGAUUGACGGGGGCCCGCACAAGCGGUGGAGCAUGUGGUUUAAUUCGACGCAACGCGCAGAACCUUACCAGCCCUUGACAUCCCGGUCGCGGACUCCAGAGACGGAGUUCUUCAGUUCGGCUGGACCGGAGACAGGUGCUGCAUGGCUGUCGUCAGCUCGUGUCGUGAGAUGUUGGGUUAAGUCCCGCAACGAGCGCAACCCCCGUCCUUAGUUGCUACCAUUUAGUUGAGCACUCUAAGGAGACUGCCGGUGAUAAGCCGCGAGGAAGGUGGGGAUGACGUCAAGUCCUCAUGGCCCUUACGGGCUGGGCUACACACGUGCUACAAUGGCGGUGACAAUGGGAUGCUAAGGGGCGACCCUUCGCAAAUCUCAAAAAGCCGUCUCAGUUCGGAUUGGGCUCUGCAACUCGAGCCCAUGAAGUUGGAAUCGCUAGUAAUCGUGGAUCAGCACGCCACGGUGAAUACGUUCCCGGGCCUUGUUCACACCGGCCCGUCGCACCCUGGGAGUUGGUUUUCCCGCAGAACGGGGCGCUACCCCAAGGGGGGCCCGCCCCGGGGGGUC
rnacentral:rRNA from 1 species